rnacentral:sRNA from 1 species
GAACACAACACCUUACUGAAAGGGGAUCGGUUUUCAAGUUUCGACACACGAACUGUUCCGAACAACCUGUUGAUGUAUGACUUUAGGGGCCACAUAAAUGUGACGCUGCCCAAAGAGCAUAUGAUCUUUAUCCGGUGCAGAAUGUAUCACCAAGCCGGCAACUUGAGUACCUCCGAUACUAAAACCCUGGUUACGCGAAUAAUGUGGAACACGCCUAAGAUUGUCCCAAGCGCCAACAUCCCUUACUACAUAAAGAAAGGAGAUGAGAUGAAAAUUACCUGUAGUAUGAGCUACACGGGGAGUAUUAGUAUCGAUUGGGAAUUGGAGUAUAAUGUAACAGAUCCUAAACUAGAAAAGAGUACUGACAUGGGAAUAACG